rnacentral:rRNA from 1 species
AUGGACAUGGCAUUGCCGAUUGUGAAUGCCACCACGGCAGCGCUUGCUCGUGUCUCAGCUGCAUUCAACGCUCCUCUUGCCCGUGCCGUCGUCUUCGGGGUUCAUAUCGAUGGUCACUUGGUUGUGGAAGGACUUCUUAUUGCCGUCAUAGUGUUUCAGCUUUCCAGGAAGAGCUACAAACCUCCAAAGAAGCCACUUAGCGAAAAGGAGGUUGAUGAGCUAUGUGAUGAAUGGGAACCAGAACCUUUAUGUCCUCCAAUCAAGGAGAGGUCCCACAUUGACCCUCCAAUCUUGGAAAGUGCUGCUGGACCACAUACGACCAUCGAGGGGAAAGAAGUUGUAAACUUUGCAUCAGCAAACUACCUUGGUUUAAUUGGCAACGAGAAAAUUAUUGAUUCUUCUGUUGGUUCAUUGGAGAAAUAUGGUGUUGGAUCCUGUGGUCCACGUGGCUUCUAUGGAACAAUUGAUGUCCACCUUGACUGUGAAGCAAAAAUAGCCAAUUUCCUGGGAACACCGGACUCCAUUCUGUAUUCGUAUGGGAUAUCUACCAUAUUCAGUGUUAUACCUGCCUUUUGUAAGAAAGGAGAUAUCAUAGUGGCUGAUGAGGGUGUUCACUGGGCAGUGCAAAAUGGUCUCUAUCUAUCGAGAAGUACUGUUGUUCAUUUCAAGCAUAAUGAUAUGGCUUCACUCGCUAGCACUUUGGAAAAACUUACUCGUGGAAACAAACGUACCGAGAAGAUUAGACGCUACAUUGUUGUGGAAUCUAUCUACCAGAAUUCUGGUCAAAUCGCCCCCUUGGAUGAGAUAGUCAAAUUGAAGGAGAAAUAUCUGUUCCGUGUAAUUCUGGAGGAGAGUCAUUCGUUUGGUGUGCUUGGCAAGUCUGGGCGGGGCCUUGCCGAACAUUAUGGUGUACCAAUUGACAAAAUUGAUAUCAUCACUGCUGGAAUGGGAAAUGCAUUAGCUACUGAUGGUGGCUUCUGUACAGGAAGUGCCAGAGUUGUUGAUCAUCAGCGUCUAAGCAGCGCUGGCUAUGUUUUCUCUGCCUCUCUGCCACCCUAUCUUGCAAGUGCCGCAGUUUCUGCUGUAAACUACCUGGAGGAGAAUCCUUCAGUUCUCGCUAACCUAAGGAGCAAUGUUGCUCUUCUGCAUACAGGACUGUCAGAUACACCAGGACUUGAGAUUUCUAGCCAUGCCCUAUCACCAAUCGUCUUCCUUAAGCUGAAGAAAUCAACAGGUUCUCUGGCCACUGACCUAGAUCUUGUUGAAACCAUUGCCGAGCAGGUUUUGAAGGAAGAUUCCGUUUUCAUUGUGGCGUCGAAGAGGUCAACUCUGGACAGAUGCAAGCUCCCCGUCGGAAUCCGGCUGUUCGUUUCAGCUGGUCACACUGAAUCGGACAUCUCCGAAGUGUGCUCAUCCUUGAAGAGGAUUUCCUCGUCGGUUCUUUCAGAUCACGUUUGA